ACAGGUUGUCAGACGCCAGUCUACAUCUGGGUAGAGAAACAUCCCAUACAUUCUGUGCUGUAUUUGGCUUCUAUUCUGAACAUCUACUUGUGAUUUCUGUCUGGUUGACAUCCAUCUGCAAGCUUCGUUGACUUAAGGUAGACCAGAAAAGCCACAUCCCAGAAGGGCAGAUGAGCAGCAACGCUGACUAGAAGCACCCGCUGCUGUUACUUUACAAAUGUUUUGAAUGAAAAUAAACGUGUAUCUACACACUGAAGAAGGAUGUAAAGCCGGAAAAUCUGUACACUAUCCCUGAUGCAGUAAAAAUAAUUAAACAUAAAAUCAUGAAAACGUCAGACCUACAAGAUCAACAAGAGAAUGGGUGGAGGAAUAAAAUAAUUUAAAUAACGAGUGGAUAAGGCAGAGGAAGACCGCGAUCAAGACAGAACUGAUAAACAGAAAGCGGAGAAGGAAAAGAGGACCGAAGAGAAUGACGGGCAGCUCCUUGCUAAGAACGUGAGAAUGGAAACAGAACUAAAGAUGGAAGAAAAACGUAGGCUGGAGAAUAAAAUACUGAAAUUAAUGGACCCCAAUAGACAGCGAGAGAAAGAUGAAAGGAUGAGUGAAGCGGAAAAAAGCAAAUGUAAAAAGGAGGUCAGAAAAAUGUAUGCAAAUAUUAAGAGACAGGCAUAAAACGUUUAAUUUAUACACAAAAUGAAUUAUUGGACAAAGCACAAAAUCAUUGAAAACUUGUAAUAUCCACAAUUGCACUGCCUGUUUUAUUUUCCCAAAAUGAUGUGCUUAAAGGGAUAGUUCACACAAAUGACUUAGUGGUUUAAUAACCCUGUUAGUAAUCUUUGGUUAUGUUUACCUGGCUGCUGUCGCCAAAUGCUUUUUCAAACAGUUUAUUCAGGAUUUAUUACAUUCAGUAUUUACAUUCAACUCUCUUAUAGGCCGGCAUUCAAUGCAAGGCAUGUUUUCUAUAAACAUGUAUCCAUACCCAGUAUGUUAGCCAGUGGCGUCAUUAGGUCUGGGCUUCUGGGGCUUCAGCCCUGGAUAUUAGUCCCCGACCCUUUUGAUGGUAUUAUUUACAUUCCAGUCUGGUAUGAGUUUCCAUAACCACACAUCAGUUGUGCUAUGUACAUUUUAAUGACUAAAAUAAACAAUCACUAUAUCUGCUAGGUAGUAGCAAGAA